rnacentral:rRNA from 1 species
GAUGAACGCUGGCGGCGUGCCUAAUACAUGCAAGUCGAACGCAUUGAGAGAAGUGCUUGCACUUUUCAAUUUGAGUGGCGAACGGGUGAGUAACACGUGGGCAACCUACCUGAUAGCGGGGGAUAACGAGUGGAAACAUUCGCUAAUACCGCAUAACAAUAGAGAAGGCAUCUUCUUUUUUUAAAAGGCGCUUUCAAGCGUCACUAUCAGAUGGGCCCGCGGUGCAUUAUUUAGUUGGUGGGGUGAAGGCCUACCAAGACGAUGAUGCAUAGCCGAGUUGCGAGACUGAUCGGCCACAUUGGGACUGAGGAACGGACCAAACUCCUACGGGAGGCUGCAGUAGGGAAUCUUCGACAAUGGACGAAAGUCUGAUGGAGCAACGCCGCGUGUGUGAUGAAGGCUUUCGGGUCGUAAAGCACUGUUGUAUGGGAAGAAAUGCUAGGCUAGGAAAUGAGCUUAGUUUGACGGUACCAUACCAGAAAGGGACGGCUAAAUACGUGCCAGCCGCCGCCGUAA